GGUCGAUGGAACAAUGUAGGCA
rnacentral:siRNA from 1 species